AAUGCAGGAAGGAGAAGUAUUCCUGAAGAACCUGCACUUCUGGAGAACCUGAAGGUUAGCUCUGCUUCAAAAUGUCUCUGUAAUGGCCACAGGAUCAUUAAAUCCUGGCUACAAAGGGGAAAAUGGGCCCCCAUCAAACCAGUGGGUUUCUUGUCCAGCACCAUUCUGUACUGAACUGAUCACACCAGCCACCAUGAACCUGCUUGGUAUAAACGAGAGCACCGUGGAGCUUUGCACAGGAACACCAGGGUUCCUCAGCUGUAAUUCCUGUAUCAUUCCAUGUGCUCCUGAGCUCCUCCUGCAUCAGCUGUCAACACAUGAAGUUCCUAAUGCCUGGGGAGCAAUCAUCCAGGCAUAAUAAAAGGAAGAUAAAAAGACCCACUAGGAGCUGGUCCCCCACCCACUGAGAGAUGCCACGGCCAGAAAUCUCCAGCCACCUUAACACCAUCACUGAGAGCUUCUCCUGCAUGGGUCUCACCUUGUUCUUGGCCAGCACAUUGGCUCCUGCUUUAACGAGCACUUUGGCAGACUGGCUGAAUCCAUGCCAGCAAGCUUCAUGGAGAGCAGUGUUCCCAUCCUGAGGAGCACACACACGUAGGAGGAGGGGGUUAGAGCUGUGUCCACACGCACAGGAAUGUCACAUUCAGAAUGCAGCAGCUGCAGGCCCCACUUGCCCACUUCAAAAAUAAAACCUUUUCUCUUCCUA